UACGUAGGGGGUGCGACGUUGUUCGGAAUUAUUGGGCGUAAAGGGUGCGUAGGCGGUUUGGUAAGUCUUGUGUGAAAUCUACAGGCUCAACUUGUAGUCUGCACGAGAAACUGCCGGGCUUGAGUAUGGGAGAGGUGAGUGGAAUUCCUGGUGUAGCGGUGAAAUGCGUAGAUAUCAGGAGGAACACCUGUGGCGAAAGCGGCUCACUGGACCAUAACUGACGCUGAUGCACGAAAGCUAGGGGAGCAAACAGG
rnacentral:rRNA from 1 species